UAGGGAAUCUUCGGCAAUGGACGAAAGUCUGAUCGAGCAACGCCGCGUGGGUGAAGAAGGUUUUCGGAUCGUAAAACUCUGUUGUUAGAGAAGAACAAGGACGUUAGUAACUGAACGUCCCCUGACGGUAUCUAACCAGAAAGCCACGGCUCACUACGUGCCAGCAGCCGCGGUAAUACGUAGGUGGCAAGCGUUGUCCGGAUUUAUUGGGCGUAAAGCGAGCGCAGGCGGUUUCUUAAGUCUGUUGUGAAAGCCCCCGGCUCAACCGGGGAGGGUCAUUGGAAACUGGGAGACUUGAGUGCAGAAGAGGGGAGUGGAAUUCCAGGUGUAGCGGUGAAAUGCGUAGAUAUAUGGAGGAACACCAGUGGCGAAGGCGGCUCUCUGGUCUGUAACUGACGCUGAGGCUCGAAAGCGUGGGGAGCAAACAGG
rnacentral:rRNA from 1 species